rnacentral:rRNA from 1 species
GACGAACGCUGGCGGCGUGCUUAACACAUGCAAGUCGAACGGUAAGGCCCUUCGGGGUACACGAGUGGCGAACGGGUGAGUAACACGUGGGUGAUCUGCCCUGCACUUCGGGAUAAGCCUGGGAAACUGGGUCUAAUACCGGAUAGGACCACUGCCUGCAUGGGUGGUGGUGGAAAGCUUUUGCGGUGUGGGAUGGGCCCGCGGCCUAUCAGCUUGUUGGUGGGGUGAUGGCCUACCAAGGCGACGACGGGUAGCCGGCCUGAGAGGGUGACCGGACACACUGGGACUGAGAUACGGCCCAGACUCCUACGGGAGGCAGCAGUGGGGGAUAUUGCACAAUGGGCGCAAGCCUGAUGCAGCGACGCCGCGUGAGGGAUGACGGCCUUCGGGUUGUAAACCUCUUUCAGCACCGACGAAGCGCAAGUGACGGUAGGUGCAGAAGAAGGACCGGCCAACUACGUGCCAGCCGCCGCGGUAA